AUGCUCCGUCUGAGCCUCUUUUCCUUGUUGGCAGCUCUCUCGGGUGCCAGCUCCCAGGUCCAGCUGACUCAAUCUGGAGCAGAAAUCAAGAAGCCCGGAGAGUCCGUGAAGCUGACAUGUAAAACCUCCGGCUACACAUUUACCGACCAUUGGAUCCACUGGGUCCGGCAGGCUCCCGGGAAGGGCCUGGAGUGGGUGGGAUACAUCGAUCCUAGCAGCGGUAGCACUGGCUACGCUUCGGCCUUCCAGGGGCGAUUCACCAUCACCAGGGAUAACUCCAUGACCACGUCCUGGCUGCAGCUGGGCAGCCUGCGAGCCGAUGACACCGCCACGUAUUACUGCGCUCCGGACACAGUGACACAAACCAGCUCUCCAGCCCUUCACAAACCCCAGUGAGAGAACCCAGGCGUCCUG